UGUAAGCUGAUGAAUGCCCCUCUAAUUCCCGCUGAAAUUCAAAACGAAGCCUGAGAAUUGAGAAAUCUUUCCAACUCCAUAACAAGGCUUCACAAUGCUUCAUCGUACCAAAAUUCUCUCCGAAAACAUUUCCAAACUAAACCUUAGCAAACAUUUCCUCCGGCAACAUUGUCGCACGAAGUCGACUCGCCGUUUCAACAACGCCAAAGAUGAAGAUGAAGAUUAUCACGGAGUCCGAAGAAAAACUGAAAUUUAUUUGCUAAAAAGCAGAGGUCAACACCUGCUCAUGAAUCCCAGAGUUCUUAAUUCCAUUGUCCAAAAGUCCAACAUACUUCCUACUGAUACCGUUCUAGAAAUUGGACCCGGCACUGGAAAUCUUACCCUGAAGCUUCUAGAAGUUGCCGAAAAAGUCAUAGCCAUCGAAAUUGACAAACGUAUGGUUGAGAUUCUUCACAAGCGCGUCUCUGAGCGAGGGCUUCAGGACCGCUUAACUGUUAUAUGUCAAGAUGCUUUAAAGACCGAGUUUCCAGAGUUUGAUCUUUUGGUAGCCAACAUCCCUUAUGGAAUUUCUUCUCCUUUGGUUGCUAAAUUGGUUUUUGGGAAAAACCCAUAUAGGAGUGGGACGCUACUUCUUCAGAAAGAGUUUGCAAGGAGGCUAUUGGCAAAUCCAGGGGACUCUGAGUUUAAUAGAUUAGCUGUGAACGUGAAGCUGGUGGCUGAUGUAGAGUUUGUCAUGAAUGUGAGCAAGAAGGACUUUUUGCCGUGUCCAAAAGUUGAUUCUGCUGUUGUGAAGAUACAUCCUAAAGCUGAAAUUCCAGAGUUGGACUAUCAAGAAUGGUGUGCAUUUACAAGAACCUGCUUCACCAAGAAAAAUAAAACAUUAGGUGCGAUCUUUAAGCAGAAAAGAAUGUUACUGGAGUUAAUGAAGCUGCAAGAAAUCAAACUGGAUGAAGUGAAUAACGCAAUUUACAGUGAUUAUCAUGUUAAUGAUUCAGAAGAUGAAGAUGGGCUGCACAAUGAAGAUAAUGCUAAUGUCUCUUCUGAUGUCGGAAUGGACCUGAACUUGUUCAGAGAGAAAGUCAUUGACAUUCUACGAUCUGGUGGAUUCGAAGAUAAGAGGCCUUCAAAGCUCUCCCAUGAGGAGCUACUGAACUUACUUUCUUUGUUCAAUCGAGCUAGGUUGCACUUUCACGGUCAAGUAAAACCCACGAAUGGAAAGGAUGCAGAACUUGCUUCUGCAUUUGGUCCAUUAUAAUGCUUAAAUACACACCAUCCAUGCUGUGUAGUCUUUCACCUCAUUUAAGUAAAUGGCAAUUCAACCAAGUUUGUUGAUCAAGCCAUAGCUGCAGAUGAUCAAAUCUUUUACAAGAACUUUGCAGAAGAUAUCUCAUUUGGUACUCAGAACAGGUCAUAUUUUAGAAGGUCAUAGGAUUGAUCUGUUCUUCUUAGUCAUUUCAUGUACUGUAUUCUCGGCAGAAACUUUAUGUCAUCUGGAUUAAAUUCGACGGUGGAAUGUCAAUGGAUUUCAUAAGAUGCUGUUGUUUAUGAAUUAUCAUUACCAUUUAACAAAUGGGUGGACUCGAUUGGAGCCCAUAGCAAGUGGUCAUUAAGCCAAAUCGGCUUCUAAGCCUUGAGACAAUUGUCCAACCUGUUUCUGAAAUCCCCUCCUUCAGGGAUGAGAGUAUCUGGUUGUUUGCUUGCACCUUGUCGGCCACCUCUACCAGUAGCCAGUGCAGAACCGGAGCUUCGGCUGAUACUUGGCACACUUCAACCUGGCCUAUCAUAGAUUUCUCUCUUCAAUGGUUCAGCUUGAAUGACCGUUGGUAACGAAAAGGGGAAGGGCCUGCAACAAGCCUCGCUUGAAAGAACCUGCUUGAGACCCCAGAGUGCAAGAAGGUUGCAGUGGCAUGGGAAAGCGCAUGAGCUGAAAGACUGGUGGUGAGCUGCAAAAGCAAGAUCAAGAGAAGAAGGCAGCCAUGGCUUGACAUAUUGUCCUUACUAUCUCCCAUGAAUUGGUAUAAUAUGUCCCAAGAUAAAGUGAACCUUACGGUUGAUGGGAACUGGAACAUCUUUGACCUCUUUCAAAUGUAGGAUAUGUUGAAAUCCUUGCCUUUUUCGGUUCUGCAUACUUCUGUAAUAGCAUGAAUAUUUUAGUAACUAUACCCUCUCCACCCCACUCCAUGGAUUUUGCCUGCUACAGGUUGUUUCGAAUUUUUCAGGCAGAGAUAACUCUCUGCCCCAGGUGGGCAGCAUUUUGGUAUUGCCACCUUUAAUUAUUGCACAUUUGCUCUCAUAUCGACCUUGUGAGUUCUCUGAAAUAUUGGGAUGUCUAUGGUGUAAGCAGGCUGGACUGGUUCUCAAGUCAGAGAUAUGAAGAAUCCAAAAAUCUAAGCAUGGGAUUACAAUUGCCUAUCUCAUUUGCGAUUAAAAAAACUAUCAACAUCUCAAUGGGACGAUUCUGAUGAUUUUAGCUGGAAAAAUGGUGGGAUUCAGUCAACCACAAGAGGAUGACAAAGCCCUAUUAGUUUCUCCCCGUGGUUAUUUUCCAGUGACUUUCUCCCAGUAAUUCUGCAAAAGGAAAAACGCUACUGAACGGUGAUUAGAACAGUGAUCUGCACAAAUGCAGUAAACAAAUUACAUAGAUUACUAUCCUAAAGCAGUAAACAAGUAUAUAGAUCGCUGGCUUAUCUGCGCAUUUCCUCUAAAUUUAUUGAGGUUAAAUCACUCUUCUAAAUUUCCAGCUUUACUGAGUAAUUUCUGUCAACGUAACUAGAAUUUUGGAUAUUUUAUCAUAGGUUGACUUGAUCUAAAACUUUGUGGUGCCAUUCAAGUGGAUAUUUUCUGAUAUUUGUGUUUUUAGCAGAGGAAGUAUUCGUUGCAAUGUGAGAUUGGAAGAGAAUACAGGGAAUUACAGUGUUAGAGUUUGUGAUAUGACAUUGGCUUCCUUUCGUCAUUGUAAAAAAAAAAUUCUUACCAGAGGACGUAGACGUACUAGUUGAACCUCGUAAAUCUUGAGUUCAUCUUUCUUCUACUGUAUUUGUGCAAUUGACCGUGAGCAUUUUAUCACGUGCUUGUGAUAACUGAUAACA